rnacentral:rRNA from 1 species
UACGGAGGGUGCAAGCGUUGUUCGGAAUCAUUGGGCGUAAAGCGCGUGUAGGCGGCUUGGUAAGUCGGGUGUGAAAUCCCGGGGCCCAACCCCGGAACUGCAUUCGAAACUGCCUCGCUAGAGUCCCGGAGAGGAAGGCGGAAUUCCCGGUGUAGAGGUGAAAUUCGUAGAUAUUCGGAAGAACACCAGUGGCGAAGGCGGCUCACUGGACCGGCAGUGACGCUGAGGUGCGAAAGCGUGGGGAGCAAACAGG